GUGUCAGCCGCCGCGGUAAGACGAACCGUGCGAACGUUAUUCGGAAUCACUGGGCUUAAAGCGCGUGUAGGCGGGUCGGAACGUCGGCCGCUGAAAUCCCCCGGCUCAACCGGGGAAGGGGCGCCGAUACGACCGACCUGGAGCGACGUAGGGGGGACUGGAACUUCCGGUGGAGCGGUGAAAUGCGUUGAGAUCGGAAGGAACGCCCGUGGCGAAAGCGAGUCCCUGGACGUCGGCUGACGCUGAGACGCGAAAGCCAGGGGAGCGAACGGGAUUAGAAACCCUUGUAGUCC
rnacentral:rRNA from 1 species